UUUAAGUGAACAUAAUUUGAUAUGGCUGAUGAGAUUUAGUCGAAAUCAAGCAAUAUAUGGAUAUUAGUGGCUCAUACCAGUUGUAAUGGAGAUAUUUGGUGGAGUGCGAGCUUCUAAAAUUGUUCAUUGCUACUUGAAUGCGGAUAAUUUUAGCUUCGAUGGGUCUGAGCGUGCUAAGGAUUAUUGUCAGUGUCAUGCUCACAGAGCUUUUUUUUAUGUUAGUUGUACUCUUGAUGGCAUUCUUCGCAUCUCCUCACCUGGCACUAAUGUUUUGGCCUAUUAUAUAGGUGUGCCAUUUGAUAGACAAGGAACAUUGUAGAGAAAGAAUUGGGGGAGAAAGGCAUUAGCACAAACUCUAUUGGCAAUAUUUGUGAGUUGUUUGAAAAUAUGAAAUAAAAUCCUCUGGUUGUUGCCAGUAGAUCUUAUAUGGUUUGAUAUGUGAGACGGCUGUUUAGGUUUGAAUUGAGCCUAGUAAAGAAUGACUCAUAUUUAUUGUCAAGACUUAAUAGUUUUUACUUCAAAUCUGUAUACUUAAGGAUUCACCAUUUUCUUAAACAUUGGCACAGAUAACGGGAAAAACUCUGCGAAUCUAACGCUCUGUUUUUCUUUUACCAUAAUGGAUAAAGAAAAUGGUUUUGUUUAUGUUGUUUAUGAUAUCCAGAGGAAGGAUAAAUUACGACUAAUUCUGCUAAUAUACUUUAAUAUAGUUGUCUGGGGACAAAUAAAUUGAAUGCUUCCUAAAAUAUAUAAUUUAAACUAUAGAGCUUGUUUACAGGGGCGAAAAUGUAGGCGCCAUGAAAUGAUAUCUGAACUUGUUGAUUGUAAGAGAGGCAAUGCUGGUGAUGAUCGUAAUCUGCCAGGGUAAGAAGACGUGUAAGAUAAUGAAGAAGAAUUUUCAUUUUGAAAGUAUCUAGGUUUGAUUAAGUAGGGGUAGUAGGGCUAACAUGGUUGGUUUACGCUUUUGUUGGAGAUUUGUUGGAACAUCCAUCUGUGUUUGUUGCUUUUAAAGAGAACUAAAUUACCCCUAGCUUUAAAAACCCAUAGCCUUACAACAUCAUGCGCUGCUUAAAUUUUCCUAAGAAUUAUCACUUCCAAUACUCUCAUCAGGAAAGAUGCAAGUUGAUGGACACAACUCAACAGACACCAAUCUCUAACAUGCUAUAAAAUCCUUAGCGAAGAAUCGUCACCUCCAACUGUCACAAAUUCGACAGUUUCCAAUAGGUACUAUUUCUUACACCUAAUCCAUACUUACUGCCUUAGAAUAAAACAAAUUUUACACUGUGUUUGUAUUUUUUUUUUGUGCAGAAUGCAAAUGGACAGAUGUUGUCUCAAUCUUCCAAUUAAAUCCAUAACGAAUAGUAGUCGCCUCCAAUGCUCCCAAACUUGUCAAUUACCAAGAGGUAAGCCUUGUUUCACAUCCUUAACCAUACUGCAUAUCGAAUUUAUAUUUAUAAAUUCAAGAUUACAAAUUUACUUUUUUGUCAGCUAAAAUUUCCUCCCCUAUAGGCGAGUUUUAAGUCAAUCUACCAACUCCGUUUUUCUAAUUCUCUUUUUUGUUAUGUUUGGCUAUUUAUAGCUGAAAGAUGAAUGACUCCCGAUGGUUCCUGUUUUUUAUUUUAUUUUAGUCUGUGAUUUCUCACGAAUAGUAUUUUUUUCGUUUGGGUUGUUUAUCAUGUGAUUUCACACGACAAGUUCAAUUUAAAUAAUAUUUCUUAGAUGCGUCAUCUCUUUUUAUUUGACAUUUUGCAAAAAGGGAAUUUUCCCAUCGAGUGUUAAUUUCCACACCUUUCUUGCAAUCUAUGUUGUGUUUCUAUUCUCAAUUUCUCUCUAUCAUGUUGCAACAGCUACUUUUCUUGGCAAUGAAACUGAAACUUGCCUUACUUGGAUUAAAGUCCCAAAUUUCAAAAGCAAAUUUUCCUCCAUAAAUAGGAUGUUCCAAAAUAUACCAGUGCAUCAGAAAUAGAUAUACAUGUGUUAUAGGGCCCUCAACUAGUAUAACAACAUGAAAAGGGGAAAUAAACAUAUACGACCAUCUUUGGCCAUUAUGUGAAGUCAUAUCAUUUUGUACUAUCAUGUGAACUUAUAAACAUGUUUUUCUCUUAUUUGUCGUGUGCAUAUAGUGUGGACUUAGGUAUUUAUAAGCAUAACGCAUAAUUGUUUAGCAAUGAAGUUUGACAUUAUGUAAACACGUGGAACAUAAAUGAGAUGUCGUAUAGAUAUGAAUAGGGCAUACCUUUUGCCGUCCAUCUGGAUUGUGAGAGUUGAAGGCAAGACUCUUCCCUAGCAUGAUGUUGUAGGGCUGGAAACAUUUGAGCAUAAGAGAGAUAAGGAUAUAGGAAGAUAUUAUCAUUUUAAAACCUUCGCGUGACCUAUGGAAUAACCGUGGAUACCUUAACUUUCAAAAUGUCACAUCUAUUUAAUUCCUUCUGUUGCAUCUUAAUGGUUAUAAUCAUUUAGUCCUGAAUGGGGUAGAAGUAAGGAAGCUGGCAUCCGUCCGGACUAUGAACCUUCUGAUUGUUAAAUUGAAUUAAAAAUUCCAGAUCAAGCCUGCAAACAUCUGUUUCCCCAUGAAGUUGUUGCUACCAUACCAGUGAAACAUGUUGGAGAUUUGACGUCCAAAAAUGAAUUCCAAAAUUAACAGUGAAGAACAUGUGUUGAUUCGAAAGUGAUUAUGUUUGGUUAAGAAAUAGUAACACGGCAUACCUUUUUUUGUCCGUCCAGAUUGGGCACCUUCUAAUUGUUAAAUUUAAUUUAAGACUCCAGAUCGAAUUAGGCCACCUGGUCAAUCAUUAGUAUGAUACAUUAUGGCCUGAUAAAUUAAACUGUAAUGGGUCAUGGUCAAAUAAGGGAAUUGAGAAUAAGUUAAUUUCCAAACGAAAGCAAUAAACAACAUAGAAGAGAUAGAACUUUAGCAUGUUUCUGCAUAACCAGAACUGUGCUCUUUAUAAAACAUGUUCGACAAGAUUGCAACCACGGAGGAGACACAGAUGAGACAUAUUCCCGAGCAAUUAUUUUUGUGAAAGCACACAUCCUACGUUUAGUGCUUUAAUGGCAACCGAAAAUCGUAAACACAACGUGAAGUAGAGAAUAAUGGAUUUUAUUAAUUUAAAAAUAAUAAAAAUGGGUGAACAGGAGUAAGAGGUCAUGCCUGUUUGACAAAGAAGUUCAAUAUAAUCUGACUAUGUGAACUGCAAUGGAUAAAAGCCUAGUACUGACAAAGGAAAAAUCAUGUAAUCAAUAUGUGAAGAGAGAUUUACAGACAAUGGAACAAUAACCAUAACUACGUUAAACCGAGUGUGCAACAAGUUUAUGGAAAAUGGAAGAAGAUACAGAAUGUGAAGUACAAUUAUUUUAGUGAAAGCACACAUCGUUUUGGUUAAGGAUGAGUAAUAAGGCUUACCUAUAUAGACUAUCACCUCCUAAUUGUUAAAUUGAAUUAAAGAAUCCAGAUUAAGACUGCGAACAUCUGUUUUUUCCAUGAAGUUGUUUCUACCAUACCAGCAGAACAUGUUGGAGAUUUGUUUAAGCAUGAGUAAUAGGGCAUACCUUUUGGCGCCCGUCCGGGUUGUGAACCUUCUGAUUGUUAAAUUAAAAUAAAGACUCCAUUUCAAGCCUGCAAACAUCUGUUUCCCCCAUAAAGUUGUUGCUACCAUAACAGCGGAACAUGUUGGAGAUUUGGUGUAAAAAAUGAACUCCAAAAUUAAAAGUGAAGAACAUGUUUUGAUUCGAAAGUGAGUAUGUUUGGUUAAGCAGUAGUAACAGGACAUACCUUUUGGUGGCCGUCCGGAUUGGGAACCUCCUGAUUGUUAAAUUGAAUUAAAAACUCAACAUCAAGCCCGAGAACAGUUAUUUCUCCCAUGAACUUGUUGCUAGCAUACUACAGGAACAUGUUAGAGAUUGUACGUAAGUGAGUAUGUUUGGUUAAGCAGAAGUAAUAGGGCGUACCUUUUGGCGUCCCUUCGGAUUGUGAACGUUAAAGGCAAGACUCUUCCCUAGCGUGAUGUCGUAGGGGCUAAAAAGUUGCUUGUUAUGGUUUACGUUGGCAUCCCUGGAGUUUGUGAUUGUUGGAGGUGACCCUUUGUUUGUAGCUUUUAUGUUUUAGGGUAUGUCUAUUUUUAUUUUAUUUUUUUAUUUAAUAUAUAAAGUUGGGUUUUUUUAAGUUGGGGGUAUUUUAGUAAUUUCACUUUAAGUUUUUUGAGUUGGUGCUUUUAAGGUAGUAUAGAUAGAUAUAGAUUAUUAUAUUAAAAUGCUAAGAAUCUUUGAAAAGUGGUUUAAACUUUUACCCUUCAUUAAAAAUCUUUGAAUAAAUAACAUUAUUUAAUUUUAAAUAAUCAAACGUUAAAUGUAUGAUACAUGUGUGGUUAAACUAGUGUGUGUGUAUAUAUACACAUAUCAAUUUUAGGCCACCCUAGAAACAUGGGUAAUGGUGUGCAAAUUCCUGCAGCACAAGCACAACAAAGAAGAAGAUGAAGACAGCACAUCAAUGUCAGAAGAAAUGUAAAUUACAGCUGUAAGAAUAGCCAAAAAGCAAUAAUAGAGAAGAAGACAUAAGUACUUACAGCAAAAUAUUCGUCGGCACAAAGCGACAAAAUAAAAAAGAAGAUUGGACCACUUAGUCUAAAAGCAGCCACAAAAGGAAAAAGGAACCUUAUCCAGGUGAGGGACUAAAAAAGAAAUAGAAGACUUCUGAAG
rnacentral:lncRNA from 1 species